rnacentral:lncRNA from 1 species
CUAUUUUUACCCUCACAGGGGAUAAGCCUCCCUGAGGCUACAGAAGCAAAGCCCAGAGAUGGGAGUCGGGGAGACAGAGCCUCCUCAUGAUGUCACGAUGUCACCUGAGCUCCUGGGUCCAGCUUGUUUCAUGAGCUGGGGCAUCAAGGGAGCGCCCAAGUAAAUGAAUGAGAACACAUUCAGGGACUAAUGAUUGUAACUGUUCGGGCACGGUGAGGCAAGAGGAACGUACAGUUACAGAAUCCGUGGGCAAAGCAUCUCGGGGCCAGGAGCGAGCCUGAAGGCACUGUGUAGGCCUUGAUCAGUUUAGCAAUUUCUACGAUUCUGACAUCCUCUUUCUGUUCUUUCCGGACUCAGGCAUCCAAGGUCACCUCAUUAUGGCUCUGUGCGAAGACAGCACCCCAAAGGGGCCAUCGAUUUGGAACAUCUGAUCGGCUUUCUGAGUCAGAUCCACUAGCUCGUAAAAUCCAAUAAAUGUCAAAGAUAUGUCAGGCCCAUUAACCUCUGGAGGUCUAUUAAAAGACUCUGCUUCUGCUAAG